UACGGGGGGAGCAAGCGUUGUUCGGAUUUACUGGGCGUAAAGGGCGCGUAGGCGGCCACCGCAAGUCGACUGUGAAAUCUCCGGGCUUAACCCGGAAAGGUCAGCCGAUACUGCGGGGCUAGAGUGCAGAAGGGGCAACUGGAAUUCUCGGUGUAGCGGUGAAAUGCGUAGAUAUCAAGAGGAACACCUGAGGUGAAGACGGGUGCUGGGCCAACACUGACGCUGAUGCGCGAAAGCCAGGGGAGGCAAACGGGG
rnacentral:rRNA from 1 species